UUACAGGGGCACCAGGAUCUGUGCACACUGACCACCUACAGCCCUGGAUUCAACGUUGGUGAAUGGACCUACAAGGAACCUGAAGAUAUCCAGGUCUUUUGACUUCUUGAAGAUGAGUAUUUCUAUUUUCCUGCAAAGACAAAAACAGAAUCCUGCCCUGACCCUUAUUUGCACCUUUCUUCUUUGCCUUUUGAUGAUCUGAAAAUCUCCAGGAAACCACAGCAGUGUACUGACUGAAGACUGGACAGGGCCCCCACCUCUUUCUACUUGGAAGCUAGGGCCACAGCUGAUACAACUGGGACUCAAAACUGUGCUCCUUUACUGGCUAGUGUAGUCCUAAGUUACAGGAAGAAUAAGGAGAAAUGGACCAACACAGGUUCUGAUGAUUAUAAAUUCGAAGCAAGUACUUCCUGUAAGUGAGAUGGCUAUUAAAAUCUUAAACAUGGCUAUAAAUUGCAAUUUGUGCUGGGAAGGGAAGAACUAGCAGGGAGAAGGAAAAUAAAGUGGGUGGAGGACCAUGCUUUGGGUGGCCAAGGGAACUUCAGAUUCUUAUUAUAUAAAUCAGGACAUAGGAUGUGCAAAGAAAGGGACAGAGCAUUAAGAGCAGGAAGAGAAAGCAAGCCAGCAGGAUUCUACAGGUUGGGUGAGUGGCUGAGAGAUCAUUGUUAAAAAAUGGAAAACUAGCCGGGCGGUGGUGGCGCACGCCUUUAAUCCUAGCACUCGGGAGGCAGAGCCAGGCGGAUCUCUGUGAGU